CUCAGAUUCCGGGUAAUCAGUGUCACACCAGGAGGCCAGGGCUGGGAGGUGGAGAAUUUUAAGGCAAUCCCCUACAUGUAAAGAACCCUGCUCAGCAUCUGAAAAGUAGCAGGAGCUCCAUAAAUGGCCACAGACCAGCCACCCACCUCCCAGAAAAAUCCCCUUGUGAGAAAAACUCCUCGUUGGACUGACUGGAGGUGCUGUGACUCAAGAAGUUCAACGUUGACCAUCCCGCUAUGUCUGUGAAGCCAUCCCAAGAAGCCUGAUGUGCUUUCUGCUUUCAAGAAUCCUAGAAAAAGGAGCUUUGGCACUCAUGGAAACAAUCUUAUUGCUUUAUUUUAUUCCACUAGCCUGCCAACAUGGUGACCAGACCCUCCAAGGAGGUUGAAAUGGGUAGGGCAAGUCUGUCAGAUAAUUCAAACGGCCAUCUCUAGGAACUUUCUACAAAUCCUUUGGGAAAUGAUGUGCCCUCAGUCCUUCCUAGUGCAGAAGGUAUCCUCCCUGUGCAAAAGCUCCUCAUUUCUCUCUCUUUUUGUGGGCAACUUUUGGAUAGGGUCCAAGUCCUACUGAGAUGGGUGAGAUAUCUUGAUUUAUGACAGCAGAGAAGUAGGCUUUCAGUUAGUUUUUGAGUAAAAACAUUUUCUAACUCCAAAAUAAAUUGUGACAGGAAAUGCAGUCCAUGCCAAACGCCCUGUGUCGUGUCUAGUUAAGGCACUGAAUUUCAAGAGAAUGUUAAUAGCAUUUGCUCACAAAGAAAUUUUCUACUUCCUUGCGUAGGAAGCCCUGAUACUGAAUUCUCCAAAAUGCUGACCCUCUUCUUGGUUUCUUUGCUUAAAUUUGGCUUAUUCCUCGAUUUUUCCUUCCUGUCAGCAUGGUUUUGGUCAAAGUAAUUUCGGGGGUGGGGGGUAAUAUAGUCAGAAUUAGAUGCUGCAGUUGACAUGCCUUUCUGCCAUGGCCUUUCUGACUGGUAUUUGAGACCAUGAAGAGGGUGGCCACUGCAGCUCUUUCUAGCAGUGCCUUAAGGGAGAGGGUGGUGGGAACAAGGCCACCAGAGCCACUGAGGAGUAGGGAUUGGGGAACCAGACUGCGACUUAGAAGAUCCCAGGUGGUGUGGACACCCAGCAGCAAGGACACCCUUCCCUGUCUUAGUAGUUCUUGGAGACUUGUGAUCAUCAAUUUACCAAAAGACAGAACUUCCAAGUUCCUGAGUUAACUGUCCCAGAGCUGAAAACCAGUGCUUCUUUCAUAUGUACUUACAGGCAGACAGCAUUAAGUAAGCCUUACCCCAACAAGCAUAAAAUAUCAAUGGAUUCAGGAAGGGUUUAAAUAUAGUGCCUAACCUUAUUAAGAAGAGAUUGGAAAUAUUUGAGCCAUGUCGUCAAAGCUUUUAAAUCAAUAUUAUGGGAAGCAACUCCCACAAUCUUGCCAAAGACAGAUAUAUGGGUUGGCAUUUUGACAUGAAGGGGCAUUGGAGAAUACACUUAUGUCUGAAGGGUCCCAGAUUAUUAAUUCUUUUUUUUUUUUUUUUUUAGUUUGAGUGAAUUAUUAUACUUAUUUAAAUAGAGAGUUGAAGACAGUAAAGGACCACCCCUUUCCCUUCCACAUACCUUCAUUCUACAACCACCAUUACUACCACAACCAAGGAUAGCUGACAUUACUAUGGAUGGGGCACCUGGAAGUCUACUUACAGGCAAAAUCUCAUGUAAUCAUUACUGUAAGGACCUCUUUAGCAAGAGGCUUUCAUUAAAGUUAAACUGUCCCUGCUCCCCUUCCCCCCAGGGGAUUUACUUAAAAACAAGUCCCGGAAACCAGCUCCAGGUAACAAAGCCCAGAUACUAGGGUGGGUCAGGGCAGGUGGAGACAUCCAUCAGUAGCGGGAUGCAUACUGUCUCCCUAGUUACCAAGGAGUAUGGGCCCCGCCUUUUGGGCAUCUUUAUGGCACCAGU